rnacentral:rRNA from 1 species
GGUUAAGCGACUAAGCGUACACGGUGGAUGCCCUGGCAGUCAGAGGCGAUGAAGGACGUGCUAAUCUGCGAUAAGCGUCGGUAAGGUGAUAUGAACCGUUAUAACCGGCGAUUUCCGAAUGGGGAAACCCAGUGUGUUUCGACACACUAUCAUUACGUGAAUACAUAGCGUAAUGAAGCGAACCGGGGGAACUGAAACAUCUAAGUACCCCGAGGAAAAGAAAUCAACCGAGAUUCCCCCAGUAGCGGCGAGCGAACGGGGAGCAGCCCAGAGUCUGAAUCAGCAUGUGUGUUAGUGGAAGCGUCUGGAAAGUCGCACGAUACAGGGUGAAAGUCCCGUACACAAAAGUGCAUGUGUUGUGAACUCGAAGAGUAGGGCGGGACACGUGGUAUCCUGUCUGAAUAUGGGGGGACCAUCCUCCAAGGCUAAAUACUCCUGACUGACCGAUAGUGAACCAGUACCGUGAGGGAAAGGCGAAAAGAACCCCGGCGAGGGGAGUGAAAAAGAACCUGAAACCGUGUACGUACAAGCAGUGGGAGCACCCUUUGGGGUGUGACUGCGUACCUUUUGUAUAAUGGGUCAGCGACUUAUAUUCUGUAGCAAGGUUAACCGAAUAGGGGAGCCGAAGGGAAACCGAGUCUUAACUGGGCGUUAAGUUGCAGGGUAUAGACCCGAAACCCGGUGAUCUAGCCAUGGGCAGGUUGAAGGUUGGGUAACACUAACUGGAGGACCGAACCGACUAAUGUUGAAAAAUUAGCGGAUGACUUGUGGCUGGGGGUGAAAGGCCAAUCAAACCGGGAGAUAGCUGGUUCUCCCCGAAAGCUAUUUAGGUAGCGCCUCGUGAAUUCAUCUUCGGGGGUAGAGCACUGUUUCGGCUAGGGGGUCAUCCCGACUUACCAACCCGAUGCAAACUGCGAAUACCGAAGAAUGUUAUCACGGGAGACACACGGCGGGUGCUAACGUCCGUCGUGAAGAGGGAAACAACCCAGACCGCCAGCUAAGGUCCCAAAGUCAUGGUUAAGUGGGAAACGAUGUGGGAAGGCACAGACAGCCAGGAUGUUGGCUUAGAAGCAGCCAUCAUUUAAAGAAAGCGUAAUAGCUCACUGGUCGAGUCGGCCUGCGCGGAAGAUGUAACGGGGCUAAACCAUGCACCGAAGCUGCGGCAGCGACACUAUGUGUUGUUGGGUAGGGGAGCGUUCUGUAAGCCGUUGAAGGUGUGUCGUGAGGCAUGCUGGAGGUAUCAGAAGUGCGAAUGCUGACAUAAGUAACGAUAAUGCGGGUGAAAAACCCGCACGCCGGAAGACCAAGGGUUCCUGUCCAACGUUAAUCGGGGCAGGGUGAGUCGACCCCUAAGGCGAGGCCGAAAGGCGUAGUCGAUGGGAAACAGGUUAAUAUUCCUGUACUUGGUGUUACUGCGAAGGGGGGACGGAGAAGGCUAUGUUAGCCGGGCGACGGUUGUCCCGGUUUAAGCAUGUAGGCGGAGGUUCCAGGUAAAUCCGGUACCUUUUAACGCUGAGGUGUGAUGACGAGGCACUACGGUGCUGAAGUAACAAAUGCCCUGCUUCCAGGAAAAGCCUCUAAGCAUCAGGUAACACGAAAUCGUACCCCAAACCGACACAGGUGGUCAGGUAGAGAAUACCAAGGCGCUUGAGAGAACUCGGGUGAAGGAACUAGGCAAAAUGGUGCCGUAACUUCGGGAGAAGGCACGCUGAUAUGUAGGUGAAGUGGUUUACCCAUGGAGCUGAAAUCAGUCGAAGAUACCAGCUGGCUGCAACUGUUUAUUAAAAACACAGCACUGUGCAAACACGAAAGUGGACGUAUACGGUGUGACGCCUGCCCGGUGCCGGAAGGUUAAUUGAUGGGGUUAUCCGUAAGGAGAAGCUCUUGAUCGAAGCCCCGGUAAACGGCGGCCGUAACUAUAACGGUCCUAAGGUAGCGAAAUUCCUUGUCGGGUAAGUUCCGACCUGCACGAAUGGCGUAAUGAUGGCCAGGCUGUCUCCACCCGAGACUCAGUGAAAUUGAACUCGCUGUGAAGAUGCAGUGUACCCGCGGCAAGACGGAAAGACCCCGUGAACCUUUACUAUAGCUUGACACUGAACACUGGUCCUUGAUGUGUAGGAUAGGUGGGAGGCUUUGAAGUGUGGACGCCAGUCUGCAUGGAGCCAUCCUUGAAAUACCACCCUUUAAUGGCUGGUGUUCUAACGUAGACCCGU